GUAGCAUGUACUACAUGCGUAACAAUUGGUACCUAUAUCCAAAUCCCUAAAAUUCACAUAAGCUUCCCUAGGAUUCUUGGAUACAUAUGGUGCCAUCUUCUCAUAUAUCCUUCUUAUCGAAGCAACAUUCUUUUGAGUUGAAAUAAACCCCACAUCGUCCCAUACGAUGAUGUAUUGUAUGAUGUACAAAUUCCCUUCCCUAUGAGGGUACGGAGUUGCGGUUUCAUCUAUCUCACUCAUUUUUCCCCCAUGUGGCUCCAUCGCUAGCAUCACGUUUUCUUUCAAACACCAUUUAAAGAUCUCUCCAAGUGCUUCUUCUGUUCUGGAAAUCCAUCACUCACUGUUUUCAUAAACUCUUCAACGGUCCCCAAGAACAGCGAGUUGAUUGUGACUUGCAUGGAACUGUUUUCUUGAUCCGUGGCCUGAACAGGUGUUAUAAUAAGAUUAAUGAACAGAUCUUCGGUUAUGUUGUGAGCAAUUUGCUGCCACUUGUAAACAAGCCUAGUUGCAUCUUCAUCUAGACUUUUAGAAACACUAGAAACUGUAACAAUUGGUGGAACAUAAACAAGAUUGAUCUUCCAUGAAAGUACAACACCAAAACUAGCUCCACCACCUCCUCUAAUCGCCCAAAACAAAUCUUCACCCAUUGAAUCUCUAUCCAGGAUUCGCCCCUUCACAUCUACCAGAAGUGCAUCGAUCACAUUAUCAGCCGACAAUCCGUAUUUCCUUGCCAUCAUGCCAUACCCUCCUCCACUUAUAUGUCCACCAACACCCACCGAUGUGCACUCUCCAGCUGGGAAUCCAAGAAGAUUACUUUUUUGUGACACCCAAUAAUACAGUUCGCCAAGAGUGGCACCGGAUUCUACCCAUGCAGUCUUCGCCUGUGAAUCAACUGAUACUGACCGGAGUUGGUUGAGAUCAAGAAUGAUGAAAGGGGCGUGAUCGAAGGAGGUGUAGGAAAGGCCUUCAUAGUCAUGACCACCGCUACGGGUCCGGAUGUUGAGUCGGGAUUUAACACCGCAGAUGACUGUGGAUUGUACAUGGGAAUAUGACAAGGGGAUUGAAGAAGGGGGGAAUAAGAAGUGUCAUUAGGGGUGAAAACAAUAUUGUCUGAUGAAAUUGUUUGAGAGAGGCAAUCCAGAAAUUCAUCAGAACUUGUUGAUAUGAAAAAACAAAAGACAAGAGUAAGGAAAAAUGAUACAAGUUCACAAUUAGAGAUGUUGAACUUCAUUUUGUGUCUUCUUUUCAGCUUUGUCACAUCUUUCAUUAUUUAUACACCAUAUUUCAAUCUACUUGUUACUUAGCAUGUCAUUAUCAAUAAAAACAACACGUACCCGUAAUGAGUUU
rnacentral:lncRNA from 1 species